CAGUAGCCGCGGUAAUACGUAGGGUGCAAGCGUUAAUCGGAAUUACUGGGCGUAAAGCGUGCGCAGUCGGUUAUAUAAGACAGAUGUGAAAUCCCCGGGCUCAACCUGGGAACUGCAUUUGUGACUGUAUAGCUAGAGUACGGCAGAGGGGGAUGGAAUUCCGCGUGUAGCAGUGAAAUGCGUAGAUAUGCGGAGGAACACCGAUGGCGAAGGCAAUCCCCUGGGCCUGUACUGACGCUCAUGCACGAAAGCGUGGGGAGCAAACAGGAUUAGAUACCCGGGUAGUCCCUGUCUCUUAUAC
rnacentral:rRNA from 1 species